GUGGGGAAUAUUGGACAAUGGGGGGAACCCUGAUCCAGCCAUGCCGCGUGUGUGAAGAAGGCCUUUUGGUUGUAAAGCACUUUAAGCGAGGAGGAGGCUACCGAGAUUAAUACUCUUGGAUAGUGGACGUUACUCGCAGAAUAAGCACCGGCUAACUCUGUGCCAGCAGCCGCGGUAAUACAGAGGGUGCAAGCGUUAAUCGGAUUUACUGGGCGUAAAGCGCGCGUAGGGGGCCAAUUAAGUCAAAUGUGAAAGCCCCGAGCUUAACUUGGGAAUUGCAGUAGAUACUGGUUGGCUAGAGUAUGGGAGAGGAUGGUAGAAUUCCAGGUGUAGCGGUGAAAUGCGUAGAGAUCUGGAGGAAUACCGACGGCGAAGGCAGCCAUCUGGCCUAAUACUGACACUGAGGUGCGAAAGCAUGGGGAGCAAACAGGAUUAGAAACCCGUGUAGUCC
rnacentral:rRNA from 1 species